GUUUUAGUAGUUUAAAAAAAACUUUGGUCUUGUAAAUCAAAAUUAAGGUCUUACUCCUUCUAGAACU
rnacentral:tRNA from 1 species